CAUUGUGCUUGCACAGAUGACGACCGGCGCACGGGUGCGUAACGCGUAUAGAACCUACCUUUUACAGGGGAAUAGCCUUUAGAAAUGAAGAUUAAUGCCCCAUGGUAUUGAGGAAUCGCAUGAUUUCUUAAUUAAAGAUUUAUCGGUAAAAGAUGGCUAUGCGUCCUAUUAGUUAGUUGGUAAGGUAACGGCUUACCAAGACAGCGAUAGGUAGGGGUCCUGAGAGGGAGAUCCCCCACACUGGUACUGAGACACGGACCAGACUCCUACGGGAGGCAGCAGUGAGGAAUAUUGGACAAUGGAGGAGACUCUGAUCCAGCCAUGCCGCGUGUAGGAAGAAUGCCCUAUGGGUUGUAAACUACUUUUAUACAGGAAGAAACACUGGUAUGUAUACCAGCUUGACGGUACUGUAAGAAUAAGGACCGGCUAACUCCGUGCCAGCAGCCGCGGUAAUACGGAGGGUCCGAGCGUUAUCCGGAAUCAUUGGGUUUAAAGGGUCCGCAGGCGGUCAAUUAAGUCAGAGGUGAAAUCCCAUAGCUUAACUAUGGAACUGCCUUUGAUACUGGUUGACUUGAGUCAUAUGGAAGUAGAUAGAAUGUGUAGUGUAGCGGUGAAAUGCAUAGAUAUUACACAGAAUACCGAUUGCGAAGGCAGUCUACUACGUAUG
rnacentral:rRNA from 1 species